UGGGGAAUAUUGCACAAUGGGCGAAAGCCUGAUGCAGCAACGCCGCGUGAGCGAUGAAGGCCUUCGGGUCGUAAAGCUCUGUCCUCAAGGAAGAUAAUGACGGUACUUGAGGAGGAAGCCCCGGCUAACUACGUGCCAGCAGCCGCGGUAAUACGUAGGUGGCGAGCGUUGUCCGGAUUUACUGGGCGUAAAGGAUGCGUAGGUGGAAAUUUAAGUGGGAUGUGAAAUCCCCGGGCUCAACCCGGGAACUGCAUUCCAAACUGGAUUUCUAGAGUGCAGGAGAGGAAAGCGGAAUUCCUAGUGUAGCGGUGAAAUGCGUAGAUAUUAGGAAGAACACCAGUGGCGAAGGCGGCUUUCUGGACUGUAACUGACACUGAGGCAUGAAAGCGUGGGGAGCAAACAGG
rnacentral:rRNA from 1 species